rnacentral:rRNA from 1 species
UGGUAAUGAUGGCAGAGAGGCCACACCCGUUCCCAUACCGAACACGGAAGUUAAGCUCUCUAGCGCCGAUGGUAGUUGGGACCUUGU